rnacentral:ncRNA from 1 species
AAAAAGACAUUGAUCACGGCGGCUCUGUACAGCGAUGUAUAGAGACAAGCUGACUAAUAUCGGGAAAAUCUUAAACAGAUUAUUAACUUCACAGAGGAGGAAGGGUCAGGCAUGACCCAAAGAGUCCUUAGGUGUUCGGGUGUAAACGUCCGAGCGCUGAGUAAGAAGAGGGGUCGCACAAACUCGAGUGGUGUGCGGCACCCUCAACUUAUUUCUUCUGUGAAGUUAAUAAUAUGAGAGACAAUUCCGAGGGAAGCAAUGGAUGACAUUGUACCCGUAGAGACUAAACGUCAGCACUCUUAUUAAAAAUAAGAAGAAGCUAUAGUCCGAUCCCUCUCGUAAGAGAGGU